AAUGACCUCAAAUCAGGUAGAC
rnacentral:rRNA from 1 species